rnacentral:rRNA from 1 species
GACGAACGCUGGCGGCGUGCUUAACACAUGCAAGUCGAGCGGUAAGGCCCUUUCGGGGGUACACGAGCGGCGAACGGGUGAGUAACACGUGGGUGACCUGCCCUCAGCUCUGGGAUAAGCCUGGGAAAACCGGGUCUAAUACCGGAUAUGACUCCAUGAACGCAUGUUGUGGGGUGGAAAGCCUUGUGCGGCUGAGGAUGGGCCCGCGGCCUAUCAGCUUGUUGGUGGGGUGAUGGCUACUAAGGCGACGACGGGUAGCCGGCCUGAGAGGGCGACCGGCCACACUGGGACUGAGACACGGCCCAGACUCCUACGGGAGGCAGCAGUGGGGAAUCUUGCGCAAUGGGCGAAAGCCUGACGCAGCGACGCCGCGUGAGGGAUGACGGCCU